CUCGGGAGGCUGAGGCAGGAGAAUGGCAUGAACCCAGGAGGCGGAGCUUGCACUGAGCCGAGAUUGCGCCACAGCACUCCAGCCUGGGCGACAGAGCGAGACUCCGUCUCAAAAAAAAAAAAAAAAAAAAAAAUUAAAAAUAUAAGUCACUGUCAGUGUUGUGCUUGGGAGUUAGCAGCCAAAAACAAACAAACAAACAAAAAAAGAAGUCAUCGUCUGUGAAAAGAAAAGAAAAAAAGAAAAAAGAAAAAGACUUUGCAUCCAUUGAAGUAUGCAGCAAAAGAAAACAAUUUUUAAAAUAAAAUAAAAUGGGUAUAGUUGGGAGCUUAGCAAUGGUCAUACAGAAUGGAGUAAUGGACACUGGAGGCUCUGAAAGGUGGGAGGAUGCCAGGGGGAUGAGGGAUGAAAUCCUACCUAUUGGGUACAGUGUUCACUAUUCUGGUGAUGAGGAUGCAUAUUUCACCACUAUGCAAUAUAUCAAAGCAACAAAACUGCACUUGUACUCCUAAAUCCAUAAAAAUAAAAAAUUAUCUUGGCUGAGACAUCUUUAAAAAAUAAUAAAAUAAAAAAAUAAAAAUUUUAAUAGAGAGAGAACAGUAAGAGCAGAGCAAGGACCUUAGUCUAUACUUUCAAAUGGGCUUGAUCAUUUGAAACAAUAAAGUUGUUCAUUGAAUCUUCACAAAGUAUUAUAAAAAAGUUGUUCAUUGGCAGAAUUUCCCAACAAGUUAGUAUAGAUUACAUCCUCAGAAAGGGUUUGUUGAGCAACUACUGAAUUAAAAG
rnacentral:lncRNA from 10 species